UACGGAGGGGGCUAGCGUUGUUCGGAAUUACUGGGCGUAAAGCGCACGUAGGCGGCUUUGCAAGUCAGAGGUGAAAGCCCGGGGCUCAACCCCGGAAUUGCCUUUGAGACUGCAUCGCUAGAAUUGUGGAGAGGUAAGUGGAAUUGCGAGUGUAGAGGUGAAAUUCGUAGAUAUUCGGAAGAACACCAGUGGCGAAGGCGACUUACUGGACACAUAUUGACGCUGAGGUGCGAAAGCGUGGGGAGCAAACAGG
rnacentral:rRNA from 1 species